UGACAUGUCUAGCCUAUUCAUGAAUGCA
rnacentral:piRNA from 1 species